AGAGCGAACGCUGGCGGCAGGCUUAACACAUGCAAGUCGAGCGGGCGUAGCAAUACAUCAGCGGCGCACGGGAGAAUAACACGUGGGAACCUACCUUUUGGUUCGGAAUAACAUCGGGAAACUGGUGCUAAUACCGGAUAAGCCCCCUGGGGGAAAGAUUUAUCGCCGAAAGAUGGGCCCGCGUUGGAUUAGCUAGUUGGUGAGGUAACGGCUCACCAAGGCAACGAUCCAUAGCUGGUCUGAGAGGAUGAUCAGCCUCACUGGGACUGAGACACGGCCCAGACUCCUACGGGAGGCAGCAGUAGGGAAUAUUGGACAAUGGGGGGCAACCCUGAUCCAGCCAUGCCGCGUGAAUGAUGAAGGCCUUCGGGUUGUAAAGUUCUUUUGGUGGGGACGAUGAUGACGGUACCACAGAAUAAGCUCCGGCUAACUUCGUGCCAGCAGCCGC
rnacentral:rRNA from 1 species